rnacentral:rRNA from 1 species
CCUACGGGAGGCAGCAGUGGGGGAUAUUGCACAAUGGGGGAAACCCUGAUGUAGCGACGCCGCGUGAGUGAAGAAGUAUUUCGGUACGUAAAGCUCUAUCAGCCGGGAAGAAAAAAAGUCCUUUGGACUUUGGACGGUACCUGACUAAGAAGCCCCGGCUAACUACGUGCCAGCAGCCGCGGUAAUACGUAGUGGACAAGCGUUAUCCGGAUUUACUGGGUGUAAAGGGAGCGUAGACGGCAGCGCAAGUCUGGAGUGAAAUGCCGGGGCCCAACCCCGGAACUGCUUUGGAAACUGUGCAGCUGGAGUGCAGGAGAGGUAAGCGGAAUUCCUAGUGUAGCGGUGAAAUGCGUAGAUAUUAGGAGGAACACCAGUGGCGAAGGCAGCUUACUGGACUGUAACUGACGUUGAGGCUCGAAAGCGUGGGGAGCAAACAGGAUUAGAUACCCCGGUAGUC